UGCAUAGUGACACUAGGCCUUUGGUGCUCAACCUUAACUUGCUGAAAAUUAGAACACUUGUCUACAAACUUUAAAAUAUCUCUCUUCAUUCCACUCCACCAAUAGAUUACUCGCAAAUCAUGUUACAUAUUAGUGGCUCCUGGGUGAAUAGACUAAUACACACCAUGCACUUCUGCAAGAAUUCAAUGUCUAAAACUAUCGAAACAGGGCACACAGAGUCUACCCUAG
rnacentral:lncRNA from 1 species